rnacentral:rRNA from 1 species
GACGAACGCUGGCGGCGUGCCUAAUACAUGCAAGUGGGACGCAAGGGAACACACUGUGCUUGCACACCGUGUUUUCUUGAGUCGCGAACGGGUGAGUAACGCGUAGGUAACCUGCCUAUUAGCGGGGGAUAACUAUUGGAAACGAUAGCUAAUACCGCAUAAUAUUAAUUAUUGCAUGAUAAUUGAUUGAAAGAUGCAAGCGCAUCACUAGUAGAUGGACCUGCGUUGUAUUAGCUAGUUGGUAAGGUAAGAGCUUACCAAGGCGACGAUACAUAGCCGACCUGAGAGGGUGAUCGGCCACACUGGGACUGAGACACGGCCCAGACUCCUACGGGAGGCAGCAGUAGGGAAUCUUCGGCAAUGGACGAAAGUCUGACCGAGCAACGCCGCGUGAGUGAAGAAGGUUUUCGGAUCGUAAAGCUCUGUUGUAAGUCAAGAACGUGUGUGAGAGUGGAAAGUUCACACAGUGACGUAGCUA